rfam:Sarcophilus harrisii ctg7180002516892, whole genome shotgun sequence.
GGCCGCGUGGCCUAAUGGAUAAGGCGCCUGAUUCCGGAUCAGGAGAUUGAGGGUUCGAAUCCCUUCGUGGUCG